rnacentral:lncRNA from 1 species
CAUUCGCAACUCAGAUUGAAAAUCACAAAAGACGCUCUCUUUUUAUUUCACUCAGUUUCAACCCAUCCAUCUCCACCCUCUCCCCUUGUCAUCUCUAGCAAGAACUCAAGAGCCUUGGCUAUCUUUCAGAGCAUAGUCGUGUGGGUUCAUCUAUGUGAGGGUGCCAAAUCCAGAAAACCCUCAACAAAAUCAAAAUCACCAUCAGCUGCGGCUUCGUCGAAGAGACAAUCGGAUGCUCACCGAGAUCCGUCCCAACUCCGACCCCCCCGACUCAGAUGAGCUGACCCAGACGGAGUUCAACCCCAACACCACAUAGUCUCGCAGUUCCUGAGCUUGGUUAACGGUAAGCUUCGCGUUGUGCUCAUAACUGGGUCUCAGUGUGGGUAUUUUUGUGUUGAAAGUAAUUAAGAACAAAAGUGAUUAUUGCAGACUUCGUUGCCUUGUUCUGAGAUACUCAUCUGCGUCUGUUGGAGGAUUUCAGCGAGCAAGUCAAUCUUCAAGUUGGGAGCAGGUAUAAUAUCGAAUCCCUGCAUUUUUUUUUUUUGUAGAUCUGCAUUAAUUCAUGGGUCUUUCUGGAUUGUGAGAAUUUCUGCUUAUUUGUGUCUUUUGGUUGGUUCUGAGAGGAUACUCAGUUGUGUGGUGUCUGGCUAUGUGAUGUAAACUGAGUUGCAAAAAUUAACUUCUCAAAAUUAUAUAUAUGUGCUGGAUCCGCAACAGCUUCCCCCAAACUUGCAUCUUCGAGUGAGCUCAUCUGAAUUGCUUUAACUUCCAGUAUAGUGUAGAUGUGGUGAUGGUAAUGUAGACUUGCUGCUGGGUGCAUGAUUCCAGCUGCUGCUGGGUGCAAGAUUCCAGCUGCUACUGGGUGCAAGAUUCCAGUAUAGGAUUUUCUGUUUUUGAUGCUUGCUGCUGAUGGUUGUGUCCUGCAUUGAGUCAAUUAUGUGUUAGGAAUAGAAAGAAAAUAUAAACAACUAGAUAAAGAAAACAACAAAUUUCUCUGUUUUUUUGUUUUGAAAAUAAAAGAAGUAAAGAGUUUAGAAAAAUUGGGUUGCCUCCCAAUAAGCGCGCUAUUUUAAGUCUGUAGCUAGACUUUGCAGAAGCCUGGUGGUCAAAUCACUGGUUCCUUCAGAGUCAAAGACUCGGCUGCAAUGUCAAAGGGUGUCUCCAUGUAGGGUUUCAGCCUAUGACCAUUCACCUUGAACGUGUUGCCUUUAUCUUCAUUAGUGAUUUGAACUGCUCCAUGAGGAAAAACUUGAGUCACUAGGUAGGGUCCAGUCCAGCGAGAUUUUAAUUUCCCUGGAAACAACUUGAGCCUUGAACUAAAUAACAGAACCUUUUGCCCUGGCUGAAAUUCCUUCCGUAAAAUUUGACUGUCAUGAAAUGCCUUAGUUCUUUCCUUGUAGAUGCGAGAACUAUCAUAAGCACCUUGACGAAUUUCCUCUAGCUCAUUUAACUGCAAUUUCCGCUUUUCCCCAGCUGAGUCAUAUGCAAAAUUUAACUCUUUAAUGGCCCAGUAAGCUUUAUGCUCCAGCUCCAUAGGUAGAUGACAGGCUUUCCCAUAAACAAGUCGGAAUGGUGACAUCCCAAUAGGAGUUUUAUAAGCUGUCCUGUAUGCCCACAAAGCAUCAUUUAGUUUGAAACUCCAAUCCUUGCGUGUAGAGCUCACUGUUUUCUCCAAAAUACGUUUUAUUUCUCUGUUUGAAACUUCAACUUGACCAGAUGUCUGUGGGUGGUAUGGUGUAGCCACGCGAUGAUUAAUCCCAUAUUUUGCCAGUAGGUUAGCAAAUGGUUUAUUAAUAAAAUGCUUCCCCCCAUCACUAAGAAUAACACGCGGAAUUCCAAAACGUGGAAAUAUAACCCCCUGGAGGAACUUCAGGACCACUGAUCCUUGAUUAGUUUGUGCUGCAAUGGCCUCGACCCACUUUGAAACAUAUUCCACAGCCACUAAAAUAUAUUGGUGCCCGUUAGAAGAUGGGAAUGGUCCCAUGAAAUCAAUACCCCAAACAUCAAAUAGUUCAACAAUUAAGAUACUUUGCUGGGGCAUCUCAUUCCUUCUGGAUUGAUUGCCGACCCUUUGACACCUAUCACAUGCCUUGCACCAAUUCUGUGAAUCUCUAAAAAGUGUUGGCCAAAAUAACCCACUCUGUAGGAUUUUCUCUGCUGUCCUUUUCUGCCCAAAAUGUCCUCCACAAGCGUAGUGAUGAGCAAACUUUAAAACACUUUCCUGUUCAGCCUCCGGAAUACACCUGCGAAUAAUCUGGUCUGCACAAUACUUGUAUAAGUACGGUUCAUCCCAGAAAUAGUGCUUUACAUCAAAUAAAAACUUCUUUUUCUGCUGGUAGGAAAAAUCUGGAUGCACCACACCCUUAGCCAAAUAAUUGACAAUAUCUGCAAACCAAGGUGUGUCAAUUUUGACAGCAAAUAGCUGUUCAUUUGGGAAACUUUCACUCAAUGGUAGAGAAUCUGCCUCUGUAGCUGCUGGAAUAAUUAAUCUAGAUAAAUGAUCAGCCACAACAUUCUCACUGCCCUUCUUGUCUUGAAUCUCUAAGUCAAAUUCUUGAAGUAAAAGAACCCAACGAAUCAAUCUAGGCUUUGCAUCCUUCUUAGACAACAAGUAUUUUAGUGCAGCAUGAUCCGUAUAGACAAUUAUUUUAGCCCCAACCAAAUAAGACCGAAAUUUCUCUAGUGCGAACACAACUGCCAACAAUUCCUUCUCUGUAGUUGCAUAGUUAAGCUGUGCAUCAUUGAGAGUACGACUUGCAUAAUAGAUGACAUGGGGAAGCUUAUCUUUUCGCUGCCCUAAAACUGCCCCGACAGCAUAAUCUGACGCAUCACACAUUAGUUCAAGGCUACAAGGGUUAAAAUCACAUAAAAUACUUGCAAGAAUACAAGGCUAUUGUAGUAUAGAUGCUCAUGCAAGGUUGUUUUCCUCAAGGACUAAUUAGCAAUUUAAGUAAAAACAAAUUCCAAAUAACUAUUUAAAAUAAAAGGUCAAGAAAGAUGAUUAUGAAUUUGGUUGAUUCUAAAAACAAAUACAAUUGAAGGAAAGAGUUGUGAAUAUCAAUUUAUAAAAGCACUAGAGUUUCACCAUCACCUAGCAAUCCUAUGAACUUUUACCAAUUACUUAUGAUUUGCACAUGCCACUUUGAAGGUUAGGUUUUCCUAAUGUAUAUUCUACUUGGAACCUCCAACACAAAACGUAUAUCCAACAUGCAACCCGUCCGGACGUUCGGAUCAAAUCUGAACAUGAAAGACUCAUUAAGUUUUAUGAAAACCCUUUGAAAAACCAUGCAACCCUUAAGACGUGGUGUUCAUCUUAAGUGAAAUUACAAUUAUUAAUCACAAGAAGCUAGCAUCAAUUUCAGGGAACCUUCCGACCAAAAUUGCAUCCAAUUACUUUUCUAAAGAUCCUAAUGGUGAUCAGGCAUUAAGGCAAUUAGAUAGUUUAAAACAGUGAUUAACAAUUCAAGUAGGCAUGCACUCAUCAUAAGCAAUUAAAUAAAAAUCACAUAUUCAUGCUAAGGUUCAAGGCUUCACCCUAGCAAAAGAAAUUUAGUUACGCAUACUCAUAAUUGAAAUCCAAGAAAAUAUCAUUAAGAAGAAAAGAACGAAAACACCUGAAAGUUGUGAAAACCCAAAACCCUAGCAAUUGCUCUCCACAAUGCAAAGUUCAAAAGUCAAAAAGAAGUCCAUAAUUCCUUGUGAGAAAGAGCUUAAAUACCCCUUAAAACCUAGUUGCCAAUGUACAGCUUUUCCAUCCCCACAAGGAAACUAAUUAAAAUAAAAUAAAACUAGGAAAUAAAGUCCAAAUUGGAAUAGGAGAAUCUGCCCAAAAUCUGCCCAGCCACGUUUUUGCCCCAAAUCUCCUCCAAAUCUGGCCCAAGAUAGCUUGUUUUAAAGAUAAAAAUGUUUUGAACACUUCUCUAGAAGGCCACGAACCCAUUCGAGGUCAUCUUGUGCUCCAAAAAUGCAUUGAAAGCCCAACACGUCACUAUUCCAGCACCGCGCACUGCUCCUUUAUUUUAUUGCCAGAAAAUAACCGCUUGGAAGAAAACUCUAAAAUUUUGAUACGAUCAAGCUAAGUGACACAAGAACGUCCUCCAACUGGAAUUACUCCAAAAUUCCUCCAUUUGAUUAUGUUUUGCUCCAGAGAGAGUCGAAAGUCCUAUAUUGGAAAUAUAAUUUAAAGUAUCAAAAUUUUUCCAAAAUAUUAACCAAAAUAUACUAAGAAUAAGGUUAAAUAUAUAAUAUAAAAUAUGUCCAUCAGGUGGGUAUGCCAGUUUGGCUUCCCUAGGGCUGAUUGAAGCUUAAUGUUGUAUAAGCAUCGAAUAGUCAUUGUCAUGACAAUUGAGCAUGAGGCCCACAGAGGCAAUGGGUUUCUCAUAGAAACCAUAAGGGUCUGCUUGUAUUUAUACUGGUAAGAUCUGAGAUAAAUGUUCCAAGUGUUGAAGAAUAUAAAAAGGAAAAUAUUAGAGAGACCAAAUUUAGAUACUAACUUGUGCACUAUCUUUCUAAUAAAGCGUAGGACCCAUUAUAUUGGCCGUCUUCACCUCUAUUAGAGAGAUGAUACACAAGUUGGUAUCUAAAAUUGGUCUUCCUAACAUGACCCAAAAAGGAAAAUUAAAAUCAUAUAUAGUUUUUACUUUCCUUUAAUGUUUGACACCAUCUUUUAAAUUAUGAAAAACAAAUUGAAAGCUCACAUUUAGUUAUAUUUCCAUACACCUCCCUUUUCCUGUGUGCAAAAUUUUUAUGGAAGAUUGUAUUUUCUACCAAAAACAAAAUCAGAGCCUCUCUUCACUAUAAAUCUAGAGCAUUUCUCCAUUCUCAGAUCACCUCUUUGGGCUUCUAUUGAAUUGAGAAAUCGGUUUGAUUGUCCAUCUUUUUGAUAUAAUAAUAUAUUUGAUAAUAUAUAUUUUUGAUAUAUAGAUAUAUAUAAUAUAUAAGGCACGUGCAUUUGAUGUCUUCUCUCCUUUGUUUUGCCUUGUUGCCUCCAUUCUUCCUUGUUUAGGCGUUAUAACUCUUUCUUUCUUUUUUUUUCUUUUUGGUUAAUACUAGAGGAUUAGGCGAGGUUAGCUCCCCAAUGUUGUUAACUCUCUCGCUAUCUCUUUCUCUUCGUGAAAAUAUAUAGGAGUACUUCAGAGAGCAUUUCAUCGGUACUCUCCACCUCCAUACAAGAAAAGGUGCCACUUGUAGCAAGUGAAAAUAAUCAUUCACAUAAUUUAUAUAGAGAUGUUGCCAAUUUCUCAUAGGUUUUUUUAGUGACUUACUGGUCUGAUUGGUACAUAAGAAAAUUUUCUCUCUCAAAGAUUUAAGGUCCGAAACAUCAAAUCUUUCAAUCAUAGGUUGUUCUGCUGGCUUAGGGCCUUGACCAGUCACUCUCACAUAAUCGUUUUACACAAGUUCAAGCAAAGACAAAAAGAGUGCUGACGACGAUGAUUGGAGAUAUUUGGUCUCAUUUGAACUUUGCGAAUAUUUUUCUAAGGAUACAGAUAUUGAGAUGGUAAGUUUUUCUCUUUUUUUUAAAAAAAAAUAAAUAAAUUAAAUAUUCUUGAAAGAGAUAAAGAUAAAGAUAAAGGAAAUAUAUGAAAAUGUCAGCGAUGAAGGACGGUAGGGGAACGAUGGUAGGAGGGAGGUGGAAGGAUGUGUACGGACUAUUGUAGAAAAUGAAAACUAAAAACUAACAAUAACUUUAAGUUAUUUUUUAUUUUCUAGUUUUAAAUUUGUUUCAUUUUCAUUCUUUCACUAUGCAAUCUUGGUUUAUCUAUGCCUAGGCUGGGACGAGGGGAUUACAAGAUCAGCACCACAGAAUAGAAAAUGGAAUAAGUCUUCAUAUAUUGUUGAAUGUAGCAAUCAUAUUUUAGAGGUGAAUUGAGGACGUGAGCAUUCUUAAUUAAUUAAGGAGAUUUAUUUUCUUAAUUAGUUAAGGGAUUUACUUUCUUAUUUUAUAUAAUUGAUUAUCAUUGUAUACUUAAGAGAUAUAAUUCUAAUUGAUUACUAUAUCUAUUUCGUUGUAAAGCACCCUUGUAAAUUGUCACGACCCAAUUUGAACAUAAGGAAUAUUCCCGAAUCAUGAUGUGAGUCAUACUAUAGUUAUAAGAAUAAAAUACUACAACUAUGAUAUGAUGAGAAAUAAAGCCAAAAAAAAAAUACAAAUGUAACACCUCGACCCAAUUUUAAUUAUUCGUUUAAGUUAUUUAACUUAUUUAAUCAUGAAAUUACAAUUUUGGCCCUUGGGAUAUGGUCAUUUUGGUCACUUUUUAAUCUGAUAGUAUUUUGGGGAAAUGAAUGGCACUAUUGCAUAGAGCGCAUCGAUACAAGUUCGUAGACACGUAGUGGGCUCAAAUCAGAGUUUUAAUCAACAUCAUAUCAAAUCAUCACUUCUGAUGCAGCGAAGCAGCAAGAAGUUGUUGUCCAACUCUAUGUCCAUUUGUAAAUAUACAAGUAGUCAACAAGUAGUCAUCAAGUAGUGCUCUUUUCCUUGGUCUUUGUGAUCUUCCCAACUUUGUGUCCAUUUGUUCAUGGUUUUGUUAUGCUGGUUGAUUUUCAUUUGUGUUUUCUGGUGGCAGAACUUGCUGUUCUUGAGUUUCUUGUUCAAGUAUCAUUGGAUCUCUAACUAUUUCAUCUUCCU